rnacentral:rRNA from 1 species
AGGCUUAACACAUGCAAGUCGAGCGGGCGUAGCAAUACGUCAGCGGCAGACGGGUGAGUAACGCGUGGGAACAUACCUUUUGGUUCGGAACAACACAGGGAAACUUGUGCUAAUACCGGAUAAGCCCUUACGGGGAAAGAUUUAUCGCCGAAAGAUCGGCCCGCGUCUGAUUAGCUAGUUGGUGAGGUAAUGGCUCACCAAGGCGACGAUCAGUAGCUGGUCUGAGAGGAUGAUCAGCCACAUUGGGACUGAGACACUGCCCAA